GCAGGAGAACCGAUUGAAGCAAGUGCAAGAAAUGCAAUCGAAUUGUGAUAAAGGCCUCAAACACAUGAGCUGUGAAGCUCCUCUGCUAGGACCUAUGGCUGAGCUAUGGAAGCUGAAGAACCCAGAUAUUUCUGAGAGCGAGUGGGCGGUGUAAGCCGCCGCUGCAUCAAUCUACUCGACCUGCAACAUGGCCAUGAGAACGGAGAACGUGUCUUGCUUCUGACCUCACACUUAUAGUUGUAGUUUAGUUUCUUGCUUUUGCUGAUUUUUACCUCAAAAGUUAGGCCUCUUUUAUUA